UUACUUAUUUCCUGCUAAGUUUCAUCCCUAAGUUGUUCACUUUAUUUCAUUUACUCAACAUUGGUUACAUUUGCGCAACACACAAUCAAUUUGCAUCCACAAAUUGAUUUGCACUUUUCAAAUAACUCAUGGAUCCUACAAAUAAUUUCAGGUCUGGAACUGGCAAGCAGAGAACGAGCCAACAUUUGAUCAAGAUUAACAAUUACUUGCCUCAAACUAACAGCCUUCUGUUAAUUUCAGGCAUCACAGGACACAAACCCGACUUUCAUUAUUACGUGCAUGUUGCAUCAGUGCCAAGAGCUACAAAAACGACGGGCCUGUCUGGCUCCUCAUGUCACAUCCCGACCCUUAUAUUUUUACCUUAUUUACUAGCGUGAUUAUAAUAAGAAUUUUACCGUCUCGAUCAUUGAGUAAAUAGUUUAAUUGGUCCCUAGAGGGGUUUCGGGGACGAUUAUGUGUGGAGGAUUAUUCGUAUGAGGAAACUACGACGACGGUAAAAAUAGUAAAUUUUAGCUAGUAAAAGGUAAUUUUUAUUCGGGUAUUAUUUUUCGGGGUGUUAAAUUUUGGAAUUUUGGGUUAAAAGGAGAGUUGGGUCGGCUGGGCCGAGCCCAACCCAUUUCUUCUUCUUUUCCCUUUCUCUCUCUCUCCCUCCCGUUUUCUCUCUUCCCACCAGAGUUUUUUCUCCCUCCACCCGGAAAAAUUCGCCACCGCAGCCCGCCGCCGUCCGGCCACCAGCUGCCGCCGCUCCAGCCCAGAUCGGACCCCCGUCACCUCCUCUCCCUCCCCGGCCUAGCCCCCGAGCCUCUAACCCGCCGGAGAGGAGAAAAAGCCGCCGGAACCGCCGACUGUGUCUUCGCCGGAGCUCCGUCCUCCGGCCACCAUAGGUCGUGAUUUUUGGCUCAACUUGUAGCCCUCAUCUAGGUGAGUAAUCCCUCAAAAGGUUUCGGCUUAAUUCGAUUUCGUUAGGGUGGUUUGUAUAAUUGAAAGUUUUAGGGAUUUAAUGGUUGUUUGUGUUCGAUUGACAUGGUUAGGCUUAGAAUUGGAGUUUGUGUUGGUCAUGAAAGUUGUAGAGGAGAUUGAGAGGAAGAUUCUGUUAAAAUUUGGUGGCAUUUGCAGGUUGCCGGAGUUGGUCGCC
rnacentral:lncRNA from 1 species